UGAAAAUUUGGACUAUUAACAACAACCCGUGAGUAAUUGGGAAACCGGGUUUAAAAUUUUGGAUUUGGCACGAGCGGGGGCGAUUUAAAAAGGAAGUCAAUCCCCCCCCCUAUUGUAAACAUUCCAAAACAAGGACUGGGUAACCAAGGUCCAAAGGGAAGUAUGUCUCUGAUAAAAAUCAUUAAUUUCACGAUGGGAAAUUAUAAGAAAUGUGCUGGAGGAGAAGAGUGGAGGGUGAGAAGAAAAAUGCAACCCCCCCCCCUGGGAACCGGGGCGAUUCGUGGAGCCUGGUGAAGAGAGACGGAGACUUUGACAGCUGUCAAAGUGGCUGUCAAAGCUGGAGAAUAUAAAGAGGACUUUACGAGGACCUUGCUGGUUAAUUUUGUUACAAUUUGCUAUAAUAUGGAUAUAAACUGUUGGAAAAUAAGCAACAAUUUGACUUUUGGAUUAGAGGAUACAAAGUUAUUACAAUCCCCCUAGAGGGGUUUCGGGAUACUACAAGAACGGUCGUAAGUGGAAAAAUACCCUGGGAUUCGCACAGGAUUUGUUAUCUUCUGGGAAAGCUGCAAAACUGAAAG